rnacentral:lncRNA from 1 species
AUGCAAAGUGAUACCAGUCUUAUUUUUACAGUCAAGCACAUGAGCUUUCAAGGAAGAGAGGAUUCAAUUCUUCAGCCAUGUUUUCAGUCUCAGGAGCUGCUCAUGUGGCGCCAAGGCAUAAUGAGACACUCAUCUAGAAAGAAAUGUAAGUGUGAAAAGUAUCAAAAAACUAAGGGAUUGAAUAGAACUGUGGACUAUUUUCAACCCAGGAGAUCUGUUAUGAAAGUUUAUUUGUGGAGCACAAGAACUGGAGUCCAGAGAAUCCUUUGGCUCAGAGAAGAGAUUUUAAGGAAGAGUGAUCAGGGAAAGGUGCCUAAUAUAUUCUUUCAAGGUGCUCCUACAGCCAUCAGACUUGAAUCCAGUUUUGAUGUCAUCUCAAGAUAUCCAUCUAUUCCAGUUGACAUCAGAGAAUGA